rnacentral:rRNA from 1 species
GCGCAGCAGGCGCGAAACUUUACAAUGUGCGAAAGCACGAUAAGGGAACUCUGAGUGCCUCCUAAGGAGGCUGUUCAGGUGUCUAAAAGCACCUGAAGGAAGGGCUGGGUAAGACCGGUGCCAGCCGCCGCGGUAACACCGGCAGCCCAAGUGGUAGCCACGUUUAUUGGGUCUAAAGCGUCCGUAGCCGGCUGGGUAAGUUCCUUGGGAAAUUUGGCUGCUUAACAGUCAAGCUUUCAGGGAAUACUGCCCGGCUUGGGACCGGGAGAGGUCAGAGGUACUCCAGGGGUAGGGGUGAAAUCCAUUAAUCCUUGGGGGACCACCGGUAGCGAAGGCGUCUGACCAGACCGGGUCCGACGGUGAGGGACGAAGGCUAGGGGGCGCGAACCGGAUUAGAUACCCGCGUAGU